rnacentral:rRNA from 1 species
UACGGAGGGCGCAAGCGUUGUUCGGAAUUACUGGGCGUAAAGCGCGUGCAGGUGGCUGAGUAAGUCGAAUGUGAAAGCCCCGAGCUCAACUCGGGAACUGCAUCCGAAACUGCUCGGCUAGAGUCCCGGAGAGGAAGGCAGAAUUCCCAAUGUAGGGGUGAAAUCCGUAGAUAUUGGGAGGAAUACCGGUGGCGAAGGCGGCCUUCUGGACGGUGACUGACACUCAGACGCGAAAGCGUGGGGAGCAAACAGG